rnacentral:ncRNA from 1 species
ACUUUCAAGGCAGGGUGAAAUUCCCUACCGGCGGUAUAGUCCGCAAACCAAAGGAAGUCUUUGGCUGAACCGGUGAAAUUCCGGUACCGACGGUAUAGUCCGGAUGGGAGAAAGG